rnacentral:rRNA from 1 species
AUUGAACGCUGGCGGCGUGCCUAACACAUGCAAGUCGAGCGGUAACAGGUGUAGCAAUACAUGCUGACGAGCGGCGAACGGGUGAGUAAUGCUUCGGAAUCUACCUUAUGGUGGGGAAUAACUAGCCGAAAGGUUAGCUAAUACCGCAUACGUCCUACGGGAGAAAGCAGGGGAUCGCAAGACCUUGCGCCAAAAGAUGCGCCGAAGUAGGAUUAGCUAGUGGGUAGGGUAACGGCCUACCAAGGCGACGAUCCGUAGCUGGUCUGAGAGGACGACCAGCCACACUGGGACUGAGACACGGCCCAGACUCCUACGGGAGGCAGCAGUGGGGAAUAUUGGACAAUGGGGGAAACCCUGAUCCAGCGACGCCGCGUGUGUGAAGAAGGCCUGCGGGUUGUAAAGCACUUUUAGUGGGGAUGAAAUGUGCAGGGUUAAUACCUCUGCAUUUUGACCUAACCCACAGAAAAAGCACCGGCUAGCUCUGUGCCAGCAGCCGCCGUAA